rnacentral:rRNA from 1 species
ACACGACUACAUUAGAUACCCGCGUAGUCCUAGCCGUAAACGAUACUCGCUAGGUGUCGGCCACGGUGCGACCGUUGUCGGUGCCGUAGGGAAGCCGUGAAGCGAGCCACCUGGGAAGUACGGCCGCAAGGCUGAAACUUAAAGGAAUUGGCGGGGGAGCACCGCAACGGGAGGAGCGUGCGGUUCAAUUGGAUUCAACGCCGGACAACUCACCAGGAGCGACGGUUACAUGAGGGCCAGGCUGAUGACCUUGCCUGAUUUUCCG